GGGGCAUUAGCUCAGCUGGGAGAGCGCUACACUGGCAGUGUAGAGGUCAGCGGUUCGAGCCCGCUAUGCUCCAC
rnacentral:tRNA from 3 species